rnacentral:rRNA from 2 species
GGUAUUUGGCUUGAUGCUGAUUUUAGCGGCGGACGGGUGAGUACACGUGGGCAACCUGCCUAUAAGACUGGGAUAACUUCGGGAAACCGGAGCUAAUACCGGAUACGUUCUUUUCUCGCAUGAGAGAAGAUGGAAAGACGGUUUACGCUGUCACUUAUAGAUGGGCCCGCGGCGCAUUAGCUAGUUGGUGAGGUAAUGGCUCACCAAGGCGACGAUGCGUAGCCGACCUGAGAGGGUGAUCGGCCACACUGGGACUGAGACACGGCCCAGACUCCUACGGGAGGCAGCAGUAGGGAAUCUUCCGCAAUGGACGAAAGUCUGACGGAGCAACGCCGCGUGAACGAAGAAGGCCUUCGGGUCGUAAAGUUCUGUUGUUAGGGAAGAACAAGUACCAGAGUAACUGCUGGUACCUUGGACGGUACCUAACCAGAAAGCCACGGCUAACUACGUGCCAGCAGCCGCGGUAAUACGUAGGUGGCAAGCGUUGUCCNGAUUUUUUUGG